CGAAGAACCUUACCAGGUCUUGACAUCCUCUGACACUCCUAGAGAUAGGACGUUCCCCUUCGGGGGACAGAGUGACAGGUGGUGCAUGGUUGUCGUCAGCUCGUGUCGUGAGAUGUUGGGUUAAGUCCCGCAACGAGCGCAACCCUUGAAUCUUAGUUGCCAGCAUUCAGUUGGGCACAUCUAAGGAGACUGCCGGUGACAAACCGGAGGAAGGUGGGUGAUGACGUCAAAUCAUCAUGCCCCUUAUGACCUGGGCUACACACGUGCUACAAUGGAUGGUACAAAGGGCUGCAAGACCGCGAGGUUUAGCCAAUCCCUAUAAAACCAUUCUCAGUUCGGAUUGCAGGCUGCAACUCGCCUGCAUGAAGCCGGAAUCGCUAGUAAUCGCGGAUCAGCAUGCCGCGGUGAAUACGUUCCCGGGCCUUGUACACACCGCCCGUCACACCACGAGAGUUUGUAACACCCGAAGUCGGUGGGGU
rnacentral:rRNA from 1 species